CCUUAGCUAACUACUGCCAGUCCUCCUCUUUUUGCUGAGGAAGACUGGCCCUGAGCUAACAGCCGUGCCCAUCUUCCUCUACUAUAUACGUGGGAUGCCUACCACAGCAUGGCGUGCCAAGCAGUGCCAUGUCCGCACCCAGGAUCUGAACCGGCGAACCCCCGGGCCGCUGAGAAGCGGAACGUGUGAACUUCACUGCUGCGCCACCAGGCCAACCCGAGAAUUGUGUACUUUUUAUACUAUUGCGGCCCAGUGUUUCAUUGGAUCGAAUCCUGGGCGCGGACAUGGCACUGCUCAUCAAACCACGCUGAGGCAGCAUCCCACAUGCCACAACUAGAAGGACCAACAACGAAGAAUAUACAACUAUGUACCAGGGGGCUUUGGGGAGAAAAAGGGAAAAAUAAAAUAAAAUCUAAAAAACAAAAAGUUUAAUCUCAUGUUGUAGCAAUCUAAGAUUACUCCUAAUUACCUAGAGUAAUAAAAGCAGUGUACCUGAUGCCAUCAUUCUAAACACAAAGAUGGUCAUUUUGCAUUGACUUAAAACAUUUUCACAACUCUCCUGUAUAUUGUAUUAAGCCUAAAUUCCUUGGUGCACACUUGCUGCCAAAUUUCUGGGCAACUUUUAGUUAUUUAACCGUUUUAAUCAAAAUUAUU
rnacentral:lncRNA from 1 species